AUGGCGGACGAUGAGUUAACUGAUAUGAUGUAUGACAUGGAGUUUGGAGAACUGAUGAAAGACUGGAUAGAAGAUUGGUCAGAUGAUGAAAAUUCAGAUCGUGGAGAUAGGUCAGAGAAUGGGAACGUAUUGGAAGAUCUUAAUGAAAACAAUGAGCAUGAUGAUGGUGAGGAAAACAACUCGGAGAUCUCGAAUGAAGAUUACAUUAGUCAGCUCAUUUCCGAAUGUCAUAAUGCGUACGACUAUUACGGUGAAUCCGACGCGGAGACAGGCCUUGAUGUCGAAUCAUUAGCUGCACCUGAUUCUGGGGAGUCGCAAUCGUCGGUCAUCAUGAGUGAGGUGAUAGAAGUUGAGGGGAAAAAGAAUGUCCAAGAUACUGCUAGUGCAGAUGAUAAGAGGGAUAUGUUCAUGCAGAUAAUACAAAUGACUUUUACGUCUCACGAGCCUGCGUAUGAUUUCUACAACAGCUAUGCUAGAGAUAAUGGUUUCAGCAUUAGAAAGAAUAGGGUCAGGUAUAGCAAAACCGAGUCACGUCACAUGCGUUAUAGGCGGUUUGUUUGUUCCAGACAAGGAAAACGUGACAGCAGGUUGCUAAUCGAGGAAGGACACAGUCGUAGGCUCAGACCCGAGACACGCUGCCACUGCGAAGCGCACCUGACCGUGAAGCUUGACCAAAAGCGUGGGGUUUGGUAUGUUGAUAGUUUUGAGGACAAGCAUAGCCAUAUCUUGGCAGGACCGGACGAGGUACCUUUUCUUUGGUCCCACAGAAAAAUCAAAGAGUACCAGAGAGCUGAGAUACUGUCCAUGGGAGCUGCAGGGAUUAGAAUUCACGACAUGAUGGAUUCCUUCAUCAGCAAACAUGUAUGGUAUGGCGGUGUUGGUUUUACCAGGCGUGAAAUAUACAACCUUUGCGCCAGGGAGAAGAGGAAGCUGCUUUCAAAAGGUGAUGCUGCCACAGUCAUAGGCAUCAUGGUCAGUAGGAAAUAG
rnacentral:rRNA from 1 species